rnacentral:rRNA from 1 species
CUACGGGUGGCUGCAGCAGGGAAUAUUGCACAAUGGACGGAAGUCUGAUGCAGCGACGCCGCGUGGAUGAUGAAGGCCCUCGGGUUGUAAAAUCCUUUUCAGGGGGACGAGGAAGGACGGUACCCUUGGAAUAAGCGUCGGCUAACUACGUGCCAGCAGCCGCGGUAAGACGUAGGACGCAAGCGUUAUCCGGAUUUACUGGGCGUAAAGCGUCUGUAGGCGGAAUGGUAAGUUGGACGUGAAAGCUCCGGGCUCAACCCGGAGAGGUCGUUCAAUACUGCCAAACUAGAGGGCAUCAGAGGAGCGUGGAAUUUCCGGUGUAGCGGUAAAAUGCGCAGAUAUCGGAAGGAACACCAAUGGCGAAGGCAGCGCUCUGGGAUGAACCUGACGCUAAGAGACGAAAGCUAGGGGAGCGAACAGGAUUAGAUACCCCCGUAGUC